AAGACUAUGCAGGAGGCUAUGAAAAAGGUACCUAAAGAUAUUCCAAAGGAUGACUGGGAAUGGCUUGUUAAGGAGCAUUUUUUCAGCAAGGAGUUUCUGAAAAAGAGCAAGAGAAACACCCAAAACAGAGCUAACCUCAAAAUGCUUCACCGAUCUGGCAGUAAACACUGUAGACAAAUAAUUUGGGACAUGGGAGGAAAGGAAAACAAGCCACCGA